rnacentral:rRNA from 1 species
CCUACGGGUGACUGCAGUAGGGAAUUUUCGUCAAUGGGCGCAAGCCUGAACGAGCAAUGCCGCGUGAACGAGGAAGGUCUUCGGAUCGUAAAGUUCUGUUGAAGGGGUAAAAGAGCGGAGAGAGGAAAUGAACUCCGAUUGAUAUUACCCUUCGAGGAAGUCACGGCUAACUACGUGCCAGCAGCCGCGGUAAUACGUAGGUGGCGAGCGUUAGCCGGAAUGAUUGGGCGUAAGGGGGGCGUAGGCGGCCUGCUAAGUCGGGAGUGAAAGGUACCGGCUCAACCGGUAUAGGCUCUGGAAACUGGCGGGCUAGAGAGCAGGAGAGGGCGGUGGAACUCCAUGUGUAGCGGUAAAAUGCGUAGAGAUAUGGAAGAACACCAGUGGCGAAGGCGGCCGCCUGGCCUGUUACUGACGCUGAGGCACGAAAGCGUGGGGAGCAAAUAGGAUUAGAUACCCCAGUAGUC